GCCUACGGGAGGCAGCAGUGAGGAAUAUUGGUCAAUGGGAGGAAUCCUGAACCAGCCAUGCCGCGUGCAGGACGACGGCUCUACGAGUUGUAAACUGCUUUUGUACCGGGGUAAAAUGCCUUACGAGUAGGGUUUUGAAAGUACGGUACGAAUAAGGAUCGGCUAACUCCGUGCCAGCAGCCGCGGUAAUACGGAGGAUGCGAGCGUUAUCCGGAUUUAUUGGGUUUAAAGGGUGCGUAGGCGGUUUUUUAAGUUAGUGGUUAAACGUCGGGCUUCACCUUGAUUUGACAUUAAUACUGUAAGAC
rnacentral:rRNA from 1 species